rnacentral:miRNA from 1 species
UGGAACAUUCCAGUCGUUCGUA